CAAUGAAAACUUUCCUCUUGUACUUCUUGGUUCUUGUCAUUACUUAGAUUUGCUUUGCUGUCAUUGAAGAGAGAAUACCUAAGGAACAUCAGGCCAGUUUUUUGGAAACGCAGCUCCACAAUGAAGUAAGCAUAGCUAUGAAAGGAGGGCCUUCAAUAGAGUGCUUACAGCUUGAUUGUUGUCAAGGAAGUGGUGAGUAACAGUUCGAGAAGCUUUUGCAGCUUGUAUCCCGAUACCACUCACUUAAUUAGCCCGGAAAGUGACGAAAGGUUCCAUCCUGAUCACGUUACCCUGGAAGCUUGCUAUCCUUUGUCUGUUUAUUCUUGGAAGGGUGAGCAACUCUAAUGUUAAUCGAGCAAAAAAUUUCUAAACAGAUCAUUUAAAGGAACCAGAAGCCUGAGUUUGAGCACAAGGCUGUGAUUGGUUGACAGUGCAGAUCCAUCAUGCUCUCUUGUCUGCUCCCAAGUGAUGAGAGCUGCACGUCUACAGAGAGACACAGAAGUGCUGCUGCAGCCCAACGCCAGGGUCACAAGAUGCACCCAAACGUUUGAAGAAAGUUUCCAGCAGAUGCAGUGCCUUAUCUGUGCGGUAAGAAACAAACCUUAUUUAGUGCGUCUUACUUUGAGGAAC